AGCCCCCGGGGGGGCGGAAAAGCUCUGGGCAGAAUACGCUAGCGUGGGGUAGUGUGACUCGCCCCCGACCUCCUAUUUUUGGUUGGGUUUGUUUACAGCGAGGUUAUAUCAGGGUAAUGAUUAAUAGGGAUAGUUGGGGGCAUUAAUAUUUAAUUGUCAGAGGUGAAAUUCUUGGAUUUAUGAAAGAUUAACUUCUGCGAAAGCGUUUGCCAAGGAUGUUUUCAUUAAUCAAGAACGAAAGGUAGGGGAUCGAAGACGAUCAGAUACCGUCGUAGUCUUAACCAUAAACGAUGCCGACCAGCGAUUAGGAGACGUUGAAUACAAAACACCGCCGUUAAUCCUUUCGGGGGUUAAUGGUUGGUGAAUGACUCCCUAGCAGCUUGUGAGAAGA
rnacentral:rRNA from 1 species